UUUAUCUUCUUGUUUUUUAUGUAUAAAAUAAGAAUAAAACAGUUAAAAUGUGCAAAUAAGAAAUAUAAGUGAUGCAGAGUGUAAGGGUAAAGAGUGGUGACGGUGAAAGGUUGACUUCUGUCGGCCCGGAUGAAGGAAAAGCUCGAAAUCCGAGUCGUCUUUUUCAGAUUCAUCCUCAUCAUCCUCGGAAAUGGAAAUGUUUGCUUCACCACCUCCAAAUAGGCGACGGAGGCCAUGUCAAAUAUUACAAAUUGGAUUAAGAUCAUUUUUAGUGAAUAAUUACUUCUCCAAGAAGUGCAGUGAAUAUUUGCUUCUCCAUGAAGUGUUUGGUCUGCAGUAACAUCCAGAUACUGGCUGGACAAGAGAGUAGUUGAUAAGACCCCCAAUAUUUAAUUGGAGGUGGGGGUAUGUAUACCUUUAUGAAAUAUUACUGCAGAGACCUACGAAGGAACAAUAACAUCUUGUAUUUAUGAGUUUAUAAUUUUACAAGCAUGUUAUUAAUAGUUAAUUGUUUAAUGUUAUGUUAUUCAUAACAAGUUUUUAGUAAUGUUUUAAUUGUUCAAGAUGAAAACAUGUUUAUGUUUAUACAUAUUUAUAUUUUCAGAUGGGGAGAUCUUACUAUUAACCUACCAUAAGUACCAGAAUGAUUUUAUUGGUUGAUAAGAAGUUAAUGACAUAAUGUUGAUCUCAAGGAGAUGUCCUAAAUAAUUUGAGUUAUUUAACCUAAAGACUGGUUAUUUGUUUAAUAAGUUUCUUAUUGGUUCGUCUGCUUCUCAGAGAGUACAAUAAGUUGUUUAAUGUAUUAUUUUGUAUUGUGAUAUUAAACUUCUUUAUAUUCUUUCAUUCUUAA